rnacentral:rRNA from 1 species
UACGUAGGGUGCAAGCGUUGUCCGGAAUUAUUGGGCGUAAAGAGCUCGUAGGCGGUUCGUCGCGUCGGCUGUGAAAUCCCGAGGCUCAACCUCGGGUCUGCAGUCGAUACGGGCGGACUGGAGUACUGCAGGGGAGACUGGAAUUCCUGGUGUAGCGGUGAAAUGCGCAGAUAUCAGGAGGAACACCGGUGGCGAAGGCGGGUCUCUGGGCAGUUGACUGACGCUGAGGAGCGAAAGCGUGGGGAGCGAACAGG